rnacentral:rRNA from 1 species
GGGAUAAACGCUGGCGGCGUGCCUAAUACAUGCAAGUCGAGCGGCAGCGCGGUCUUCGGACUGGCGGCGAGCGGCGGACGGCUGAGUAACACGUAGGAACGUACCCCAAAGUGAGGGAUAAGCACCAGAAAUGGUGUCUAAUACCGCAUGUGCUCUAAGGAGUAAAGCUUCGGCGCUUUGGGAACGGCCUACGCAUGAUUAGCUUGUUGGUGAGGUAAUGGCUCACCAAGGCGACGAUCAUUAGCUGGUCUGAGAGGAUGAUCAGCCAGACUGGGACUGAGAACGGCCCAGACUCCUACGGGAGGCAGCAGUAGGGAAUUUUCCACAAUGGGCGAAAGCCUGAUGGAGCAACGCCGCGUGCAGGAUGAAGGCCUUAGGGUUGUAAACCCCUUUCAGUUGGGACGAAGCUCCGCCGGUGAAUAGCCGGCUGGAGUGACGGUACCUUCAGAAGAAGCCCCGGCUAACGUACGUGCCAGCAGCCGC